rnacentral:rRNA from 1 species
AGUGAACGCUGGCGGUAGGCCUAACACAUGCAAGUCGAACGGCCGCACAGUAAGAGCUUGCUCUUACGGGUGGCGAGUGGCGGACGGGUGAGGAAUACAUCGGAAUCUACUUUUUCGUGGGGGAUAACGUAGGGAAACUUACGCUAAUACCGCAUACGACCUACGGGUGAAAUCAGGGGAUCUUCGGACCUUGCGCGAUUGAAUGAGCCGAUGUCGGAUUAGCUAGUUGGCGGGGUAAAGGCCCACCAAGGCGACGAUCCGUAGCUGGUCUGAGAGGAUGAUCAGCCACACUGGAACUGAGACACGGUCCAGACUCCUACGGGAGGCAGCAGUGGGGAAUAUUGGACAAUGGGCGCAAGCCUGAUCCAGCCAUGCCGCGUGGGUGAAGAAGGCCUUCGGGUUGUAAAGCCCUUUUGUUGGGAAAGAAAAGCAGCAGGUUAAUACCCCGCUGUUCUGACGGUACCCAAAGAAUAAGCACCGGCUAACUUCGUG